rnacentral:tRNA from 1 species
AUUAAGGUGGCAGAGCCCGGUAAUUGCGGAGGACCUAAGCUCCUUUUCUCAGAGGUUCAACUCCUCUCCUUGAUA